UUAAAGUAGUAAGGGCGCAGGGUGGAUGCCUUGGCACUAAGAGCCGAUGAAAGACGUGAUAAGCUGCGAAAAGCUUCGGGGAGGAGCACAUAUCCAAUGAUCCGGAGAUAUCUGAAUGGGGAAACCCGGCAGAGGAAACCUCUGUCAGCGUGCAGUGAAUACAUAGCUGUACGUGGGGAACCCGGGGAACUGAAACAUCUAAGUACCCGGAGGAAGAGAAAGAAAAUUUAUCGAUUUCCAAAGUAGCGGCGAGCGAAAUGGAAAGAGCCCAAACCGUGAUGCGUGCAUCGCGGGGUUCGGACUGCGUUGUGGCAGACGUAAGAUAGGAGAACGGACUGGGAAGUCCGGCCGGAGAGAGUGAAAGCCUCGUAUCCGAAAUCCCAAGUCGCCUAGCAGGAUCCAGAGUAGGACGAGACACGAGAAACCUUGUCUGAACGAGCGGGGACCACCCCGUAAGGCUAAAUACUUCUUAGUGACCGAUAGCGCAUAGUACUGUGAAGGAAAGGUGAAAAGUACCCCGGGAGGGGAGUGAAAGAGAACCUGAAACCCUGUGUCUACAAGCUGUGGGACCUCUUUAUAUGAGGGACUGCGUACUUUUUGUAGAACGGUCCGGCGAGUUGUGCGUACUGGCGAGGUUAAGGACUUAAGGUCUGGAGCCGAAGUGAAAGCAAGCGUUAAUAGCGCGUCAAGUCAGUGAGUGCAGACCCGAAACCGGGUGACCUAUCCAUGUCCAGGUUGAAGCUUCCGUAAGAGGAAGUGGAGGACCGAACCCACAUCCGUUGAAAAGGGUGGGGAUGAGGUGUGGAUAGCGGAGAAAUUCCAAUCGAACCCGGAGAUAGCUGGUUCUCCUCGAAAUAGCUUUAGGGCUAGCCUCAUGAGAGUCUUAUGGAGGUAGAGCACUGAAUUGCCUAGGGGGCGUCAAAGCUUACCAAAGCAUAUCAAACUCCGAAUGCCAUCAAGAUGAUUCAUGGGAGUCAGACCAUACGAGAUAAGUUGGAUGGUCAAAAGGGAAAGAGCCCAGACCUACAGCUAAGGUCCCAAAGUACGUGUUAAGUGGAAAAGGAUGUGGGGAUUCUAAGACAACUAGGACGUUGGCUUAGAAGCAGCCAUUCAUUGAAAGAGUGCGUAAUAGCUCACUAGUCGAGAGUCCCUGCGCCGAAAAUGUCCGGGGCUGAAACACGACACCGAAGCUUAGGAAUGUGUAAACAUUGGUAGAGGAGCAUUGCUAGCGGGAUGAAGCCAUACCGUAAGGAGUGGUGGACUGCUAGGAAGAGAGAAUGCCGGAAUGAGUAGCGAGAUGAAGGUGAGAAUCCUUCAGGCCGAAUAUCUAAGGUUUCCAGAGUAAAGCUGAUCUGCUCUGGGUAAGUCGGGACCUAAGGCGAGGUCGAAAGACGUAGUCGAUGGAUAACAGGUUGAAAUUCCUGUACCGCAUAUAAACAGAACUGUGGGGACACAGACAGGGAAUGGAAUCCGGGAAUGGAUAUCCCGGUGCAAGCGAGGUAGGAGUGCUGUUGGCAAAUCCGCAGCACGAUCUGAAGACGUGACGCGUACCGAACAUAAGUAGGGAAGUCCAGGCCCCUGGCUGUCAAGAAAAGCCGCUAUUGUUUUAUAUGUGCCCGUACCGCAAACCGACACAGGUGGAUGAGGAGAGAAUCCUAAGGCCGACGGGAGAAGUAUUGUUAAGGAACUCGGCAAAAUGACUCCGUAACUUCGGGAGAAGGAGUGCCAUGAGAGUGGCCGCAGAGAAAUGGCCCAAGCAACUGUUUAGCAAAAACACAGGUCUAUGCAAAACCGCAAGGUGAAGUAUAUGGGCUGACGCCUGCCCGGUGCUGGAAGGUUAAGGGGAGAGGUUAGCGCAAGCGAAGCUUUGAACUUAAGCCCCAGUAAACGGCGGCCGUAACUAUAACGGUCCUAAGGUAGCGAAAUUCCUUGUCGGGUAAGUUCC
rnacentral:rRNA from 1 species